rnacentral:tRNA from 1 species
GCCGCUGUAGUGAUAAUGGUUAGCAUGGGGGCCUGUGGAGCCCCUGGUCCGAGUUCAAAUCUCGGCAGCGGCC